CACGUAGGGCGCAAGCGUUGUCCGGAAUUAUUGGGCGUAAAAAGCUCGUAGGCGGUCUGUCGCGUCGGCUGUGAAAUCCCGAGGCUCAACCUCGGGUCUGCAGUCGAUACGGGCAAACUAGAGUAUUGCAGGGGAGACUGGAAUUCCUGGUGUAGCGGUGAAAUGCGCAGAUAUCAGGAGGAACACCGGUGGCGAAGGCGGGUCUCUGGGCAAUAACUGACGCUGAGGAGCGAAAGCAUGGGGAGCGAACAGG
rnacentral:rRNA from 1 species